rnacentral:rRNA from 1 species
GACGAACGCUGGCGGCGUGCUUAACACAUGCAAGUCGAACGGUGAAGGGACCGGUUUUUGCUGGUUCUGGAUGAGUGGCGAACGGGUGAGUAACACGUGAGUAACCUGCCCCCUUCUUCUGGAUAACCGCAUGAAAGUGUGGCUAAUACGGGAUAUUCUGCGCCUGCUGCAUGGUGGGUGUGGGAAAGAUAUUGUUUCGGUGGGGGAUGGGCUCGCGGCCUAUCAGCUUGUUGGUGGGGUGAUGGCUACCAAGGCGGUGACGGGUAGCCGGCCUGAGAGGGUGGACGGUCACACUGGGACUGAGACACGGCCCAGACUCCUACGGGAGGCAGCAGUGGGGAAUAUUGCACAAUGGGCGCAAGCCUGAUGCAGCGACGCCGCGUGAGGGAUGGAGGCCUUCGGGUUGUAAACCUCUUUCGCCAGUGAAGCAGGCCUGUCCCUUUUGUGGGUGGGUUGACGGUAGCUGGAUAAGAAGCGCCGGCUAACUACGUG